rnacentral:tRNA from 1 species
UUCUGUUUAGCUCAGUUGGUAUAGCUCUCCCCUGUAAAUGGAAAGGUCCCUGGUUUGAUACCAGGACCAGGCG